rnacentral:lncRNA from 1 species
AAACUGCAUACUUUAAUUACAAUUGAAGGAAGAAAGUAAGCAGCGACAAUUGCAUUAACGAGUAGCUUAUUCCCCCGACGAUAUUACAUAAAUCAGAAGCUUGGCAGUUUGAAAUUAUACCAAGGUUGUACUUAUUAAGAACUAGUUCAAAAAGAAUCUUGAAAGUAAUGACCUACCCUAACUCUGCUAAAUUUGUCUUCCUCUGUGCAGACGAUAGCAAAUGAUCUAGAAGCACAUUCCGCUUACUUGCAUUUGUAAUUGGAGAUACCAAGAUUAUUACUACCAAAUAAAGCCGCUUCUUCAUCAGUAGCCAAUCGCUGAAAUCACAACAUAUGGAACAUGA